rnacentral:rRNA from 1 species
GGUCCCGCCUGCCCUGUGACAUUGUUUAACGGCCGCGGUAUCAUGACCGUGCGAAGGUAGCGUAAUCACUUGUCUUUUAAUUGAAGACCUGUAUGAAAGGCAUCACGAGAGUUUACCUGUCUCUAUUUUCUAAUCAAUGAAAUUGAUCUCCCCGUGCAGAAGCGGGGAUAUAACCAUAAGACGAGAAGACCCUAUGGAGCUUUAAACACUUAAGUUACUACCUUACUCACUAAUCAUCUAAAGACUUAACCACUCCAAUAGUAACCUAACUUAAUGUUUUCGGUUGGGGCGACCAAGGAGUAAAAGAAAACCUCCUUAUCGAUUGAGUAUUUUUACUUAAAAAUCAGAACGACAGCUCUGAUUAAUAGAAUGUCUAACGAAUAAUGACCCAGGGUUAUACCCUGAUCAAUGAACCAAGUUACCCUAGGGAUAACAGCGCAAUCCUUUCUAAGAGUCCAUAUCGCCGAAAGGGUUUACGACCUCGAUGUUGGAUCAGGACAUCCUAAUGGUGCAACCGCUAUUAAGGGUUCGUUUGUUCAACGAUUAAUAG